rnacentral:rRNA from 1 species
UACGGGGGGGGCAAGCGUUGUUCGGAAUUACUGGGCGUAAAGGGCGCGUAGGCGGUUGGAUAAGUCAGCUGUGAAAACCACGGGCUUAACUCGUGGCCUGCAGUUGAGACUGUCUGGCUUGAGUGUGGGAGAGGAGAGUGGAAUUCCUGGUGUAGCGGUGAAAUGCGUAGAUAUCGGGAGGAACACCAGUGGCGAAGGCGACUACCUGGCCUGUUCUUGACGCUGAGGCGCGAAAGCUAGGGGAGCAAACGGG